rnacentral:tRNA from 1 species
GCGGGUGUGGCGGAAUUGGUAGACGCGCUAGCCUUAGGAGCUAGUGAAAUUUAUUUCGUGGAGGUUCGAGUCCUCUCGCCCGCACAA